CGGAACAUAGCGCAGUAUGGUAGCGCACCUGCCUUGGGAGCAGGGGGUCGCCCGUUCAAAUCGGGCUGUUCCGACCA
rnacentral:tRNA from 1 species